AAAGGAUUACAAAGGAAAUCGGGCAACGUAUCAAAUAUAAGCAAACCCAGCGGAAGGCUCACACUGCUUGCAGACACUUGGACAACUCAUAAUGCGCAGAAAGUUGAUGGCUCCGCUGAAGUUUCCACAGUAUGACAAGUCGUCCAUCUUUUCUUACAGCAACAAUUUCAAAAAUUUAAUUCUUCAUAAAUGAUCUCAUAAUUUUUUUCUACCCCACAUCGUCUUUCAGACAGUUUGUUUAACUAGUGAAGAAAGUUCAGAUAGUAACACAAGGCAACUACCAAUUAAUCUAAUAGCUCAUCCGCUGGUGCAGAACAAGAGAGAUUAGAUUCGCUGUAUAGAG
rnacentral:misc_RNA from 1 species